rnacentral:ncRNA from 1 species
GUCUGUGAAGAUGCGGACUACCUGCAACUGGACAAAAAGACCCUAUGAAGCUUCACUGUUCCCUGGGAUUGGCUUUGAGCCUUUCUUGCGAAGCUUAGGUGGAAGGUGAAGAAGGCCCCCUUCUAGGGGGGCCCGAGCCAUCAGUGAGAUACCACUGUGGAAGAGCUAGAAUUCUAACCUUGUGUUAGGACCUACGAGCCAAGGGACAGUCUCAGGUAGACAGUUUCUAUGGGGUAUAGGCCUCCCAAAAGAUAACGGAGGCAUGCAAAGGUUUCCUCAGGCCAGACUGAGAUUGGCCCUUGAGUGGAAAGGCAGAAGGGAGCUUGACUACAAGACCCACCCGUCAAGCAGGGACGAAAGUCAGCCUUAGUGAUCCAACGAUGCCGAGUGGAAGGGCCGUCGCUCAACGGAUAAAAGUUACUCUAGGGAUAACAGGCUGAUCUUCCCUAAGAGCUCAUAUCGAUAGGAAGGUUUGGCACCUCGAUGUCGACUCUUCGCCACCUGGGGCUGUAGUAUGUUCCAAAGGUUGGGUCGUUCACCCAUUAAAGCGGUACGUGAACCUUUCUUACUUCAACUUAGGAAAAGAGGCUAGGUUCAAUAUAUG